rnacentral:rRNA from 1 species
UACGGGGGGUGCGAGCGUUGUCCGGAAUCACUGGGCGUAAAGGGUUCGUAGGCGGUGCGGCAAGUUGGGAGUGAAAUCUCUGGGCUUAACCCAGAGGCUGCUUCCAAAACUGCCGUGCUAGAGUGCGAGAGAGGCGAGUGGAAUUGCAGGUGUAGCGGUGAAAUGCGUAGAUAUCUGCAGGAACACCCGUGGCGAAGGCGGCUGACUGGAUCGCAACUGACACUGAGGAACGAAAGCUAGGGGAGCAAACAGG